rnacentral:lncRNA from 1 species
CCAUGCUCGAUCAAUAUAGCUCGAAAGGGCUUCUUGAAACUUCUUGGCUUGUGACCGAGUGAUUGGACCUAAGGGCAGCUCAAUGGGAUCGGCAGCAGCUUCCUUGGCCAUGAUCACAUCAAAAGUUGUGUAUGAGGUUGGAGUUUUUAUCCUUUUGGUUUAAUUUACUUCUAUUUCAAAUUUCUAUAUCCUAAUUUGCAUUUAUUUGUUUAAUUUUGUUAUACUUUUACCCCCCUUUGUUUAUUUACGCAGGUUUGCACAAGUCUUGGGCACAAAAUUGCCCAUGACAAAAUCUGGUUGUGCUAAAUCAUAAAAUAAUCAGUUCAAUCUUUGUGAGAUCAACCCUACUUCUUUGACUAUGAAUUUAAAUUCUAUUUUAGGCGUAGGACCUUUUAUUUUUAGUAGAUUCGACACCCAUCACUUAGUUCAAUUGGCAUUGUUGUUAUUGCAACAAUCAUGAGUAUGGAUGCAUCCAACAUUCAUGGAAGUAUUAGUGGUUUUCAAGAUUAUAUAUCCAUAGUGGAAUGAGCAGAUGGUAGGGCAAAGGAUGUCAACUCUGGCGUGGUGAAAGAACUGACAAAAUCCACCCUUGCUUCGCUCCAUUUCCAUCCCUACGAACAUGAUAUGAGUACCCAAAUAUCUCCAAAUCUAUGAAAUUACAAAUUAUUAAAUUAUCAAAAUUUGUAUAAGUAAAAAAUUAGCCGAAAUUCAAUUUUGAAAAUGAAAUAAUAUAAAGGCCAAAACAUACUAUUUGUCAAUGUACUGUGCAUACGUUGAAGAUUGAAUCUUUGUACUCUAGUUUGGUCAAUUUCAAUCCUUCUACUUUUUUUAAUUUUGAAAUUCCAAUCCUAAUCUUAACGAUAGUAGUUAAAUCUAUUAGAUCAAGUUCUACUGUUAGUCCCAUACUAUGCAU